rnacentral:rRNA from 1 species
CCUACGGGGCGCUGCAGUGGGGAAUAUUGGACAAUGGGCGAAAGCCUGAUCCAGCCAUGCCGCGUGUGUGAAGAAGGCCUUCGGGUUGUAAAGCACUUUCAGUGGGGAAGAAAGCCUUGGGGCUAAUACCCUCGAGGAAGGACAUCACCCACAGAAGAAGCACCGGCUAACUCCGUGCCAGCAGCCGCGGUAAUACGGAGGGUGCGAGCGUUAAUCGGAAUUACUGGGCGUAAAGCUCGCGUAGGCGGUCUGAUAAGCCGGUUGUGAAAGCCCCGGGCUCAACCUGGGAACGGCAUCCGGAACUGUCAGGCUAGAGUGCAGGAGAGGAAGGUAGAAUUCCCGGUGUAGCGGUGAAAUGCGUAGAGAUCGGGAGGAAUACCAGUGGCGAAGGCGGCCUUCUGGACUGACACUGACGCUGAGGUGCGAAAGCGUGGGUAGCAAACAGGAUUAGAUACCCCGGUAGUC